UUUUCCAAAAACAUUUUUAAUAGUUAAUAUUAUUAAUAAAACCUGCUCAAUGAAUAUUAAAUAGCCGCAGUUUACUGUGCUAAGGUAGCAUAAUCACUUGUUUUUUAAUUAAAGACCAGAAUGAAUGGUAUCACAUUUAAAUUAAUAUUUUCAACUUAAAAUUUUAAAUUAUCCUAAAUGUAAAAAAUCAUUUAUUUAUAAAAAAGACGAUAAGACCCUAUUGAACUUAACUUUAGUUUUACUGGGGUAGUAAUUCAACAAAUUUUUUUAAACUUAAAUAAUAAACGACCUAAUAUAAUUAAAUUCAUGAUUAAGUUACCAUAGGGAUAACAGCGCAAUAUUUUUCCAUAGAUCUUAUAAAAAAAAAAGAUUACGACCUCGAUGUUGAAUUAAUUUUCCUAAUAAAUGCAAAAAUUUAAAAAGAAAGUCUGUUCGACUUUUAAACAAUUACAUGAUCUGAG
rnacentral:rRNA from 1 species